UACGAAGGGUGCAAGCGUUACUCGGAAUUACUGGGCGUAAAGCGUGCGUAGGUGGUUUGUUAAGUCUGUUGUGAAAGCCCCGGGCUCAACCUGGGAAUGGCAAUGGAUACUGGCAAGCUAGAGUGCGGUAGAGGGUAGUGGAAUUCCCGGUGUAGCGGUGAAAUGCGUAGAGAUCGGGAGGAACACCGAUGGCGAAGGCAAUCCCCUGGGCCUGCACUGACGCUCAUGCACGAAAGCGUGGGGAGCAAACAGG
rnacentral:rRNA from 1 species